GAUGAAGAACGUAGCGAAAUGCGAUAAGUAAUGUGAAUUGCAGAAUUCAGUGAAUCAUCGAAUCUUUGAACGCACAUUGCGCCCACUAGUAUUCUGGUGGGCAUGCCUGUUCGAGCGUCAUUUCAACCCCUAAGCCUUAGUUGUUUAGCGUUGGGAGUUUGCGGUAACGCAACUCUUUAAAUUUCGUGGUAGGGCUCGCGUCGCCUUGAAGUGUAGUAAUUUUCUUCUCGCUUUUAGAAGGCGUUCGCGCGGCACAGCCAAGUAAAACCUUAUAUUAUCAAGUGGUUGACCUCGGAUCAGGUAGGAGUACCCGCUGAACUUAAGCAUAUCAAUAAGCGGAGGA
rnacentral:misc_RNA from 1 species